ensembl:misc_RNA Y_RNA Y RNA
AGCUGGUCCGAAGGUAGUGAGUUGUCUCACGUGAUUGUUCACAGUCAGUUACAGAUUGAACUUCUUGUUCUACUACUUUCCCCCCUCCUCACUACAGCACUUGACCAGUCUUAA